rnacentral:rRNA from 1 species
ACUCCUACGGAGGCAGCAGUAGGAAUUUCCGCAAUGGACGAAGUCUGACGGAGCAAUGCCGCGUGAGUGAUGAAGGUUUCGAAUCGUAAAGCUCUGUUGUAAGGGAAGAAUAGCAAGAAUAGGAAAUGAUUCUUGNCUGACGGUACCUUACCAGAAAGCCACGGCUAACUACGUGCCAGCAGCCGCGGUAAUACGUAGGUGGCAAGCGUUAUCC